UAUAUCCCUUAAUCCCACAUAUGCUCUUUACCCGAUCUCCUUCUCGCAGCGGCGGCUGAAUCCUUCUCCAGCGGUGGCGGAAUCCUUCUCCUGCAGCGGCGCAGGUCUCGCUCGGUGUAGUUGGAGGCACUCGUAUCAUAAAGCACUUUUGUAGAUCUUCCCCGUGGUCAUUAGAGGUGACAUCUAAUAUUUUUUUCCCCUCUUGUUCUACAAGCUAUUUGAAGAAAAAUGUUCCGCUCUAAGUCAGAUUCCUCCGCGUGACGAUGAUGAUGAUGGCGACGAUGAUAACGAUGAUGCUGGUGAUGCUAUUUCAUGAUUUUAAUUAUGUUUGGUGAGGCGAAAUAUGUAUCGGAGAAAAAAGUAAGUAUUAAAUAACACACUCGUAGUUGAACAUGUUAGACUUUUAAUUAUAUUUAUAUAUUUUUAAAUUAGUUAUAUUUGAAAAGUUAAAUAAAGGUAUCUUUUUAUAUAUUUGUUGAAAUUUGAUAUUACUGCAUUAUUACUUCAAAUUCCAAAUUAUGAUUAGAGUUUGCCUAACAACCAAGUAACUAUGAGUACUUAAAGACUAGUAUCAACUAAUUGCUCAUAUAUUAGUUUGUGCUUUUUUCAUUUCAGACAUUUUCAUAUUAUAGGAAUUUUAAGAAUACAUCUCAUUCUCUCUAUGUUUGAUGAAAUAUAGUAUUUGUAAAACUUGUUUGAUAAGGUGAAAUAUGGUAUAUCAUAACAAUUUGAUACAAAUGAAACUGUUAGAAUUGUGAGAUUGUUAGAAUUUAAGUUAUUAUCUUUCUGGUUACACAUGAUCUGGUUUAUUCGUUUGUUUGUAUGCAGGAAGAGAAGAGUUGAUGGGGAUGAAAGCUUUUGUGGAGAAAGAAGAUGAGUUGAUGUAUCUUAGUUUUUUUUAAAAUUUAACUCCUUGUUUAACUUCUUGGAUUAUUAGACUUUAUAAAUAUUUGAGUGUUGAACUUGUAUAAUAUUUUGGAGUCGUUUGAAGAA